UCAGGUCCUCUGAUUACAGUUGCUUGGAGAACCAGAAAGGACUAAGUCAACAACACUGACUUUCAAAAAAGGCCAACUUCUCAGUGCUUGUGUAAGGACAAGACUCAAAGAAGCAAGAAGAAAGCAGUUGCUGAGAAGCUAAAGAAUUAAGCAGAGACUUCAGUGGUCAUGAGAUGUUGAAGAGACAAAGGUUCCAUGUUAACAAAUGGAGCAAGUCCUCUAGAUUCUCAGUUAUCUCUCUGAAUACCUCUGGAGACAUCCUAUGCAGCUAUGCCAUAAUUUUGUUCUUCCUAUUGUGGAAUCAGAAGAGCCAAUGAAAAAUUGGAUGUUGGGCCAAAGACCCUCAGG